AUGGACAUCAAUAUUUAUCUCUGUCUGUCAACAUUAUUCAGCACAAGGUUUCACACGAGUCAAUUUAAGUUUUAUUUUACCAAUCUUCAUCAGCGAUACACUUGUUGCUCUUUUACUAUGAAUACAAACCAACAUUGUUUGAUCAUUAUAGAAAUUUUAACCUGGGAGUAUAGUGUUUUAUGGCAAUUCAUACCUUUAUAG